CAGUCGCCGCGGUAAUACGAAGGGUGCAAGCGUUACUCGGAAUUACUGGGCGUAAAGCGUGCGUAGGUGGUGGUUUAAGUCCGUUGUGAAAGCCCUGGGCUCAACCUGGGAAUUGCAGUGGAUACUGGGUCACUAGAGUGUGGUAGAGGAUAGUGGAAUUUCCGGUGUAGCAGUGAAAUGCGUAGAGAUCGGAAGGAACAUCUGUGGCGAAGGCGACUAUCUGGGCCAACACUGACUCUGAGGCACGAAAGCGUGGGGAGCAAACAGGAUUAGAUACCCCUGUAGUCCCUGUCUCUUAUAC
rnacentral:rRNA from 1 species